rnacentral:pre_miRNA from 1 species
AUAAUACUCCCUCCGCCCGGAAUUACUUGUCAUCAAAAUGGAUGUGUCUAGAACUAAAAUACAUCUAGAUACAUCCAUUUCAAUGACAAGUAUUUUCGGACGGAGGGAGUAGUAG